UACGUAGGGUGCGAGCGUUAAUCGGAAUUACUGGGCGUAAAGCGUGCGCAGGCGGUUUUGUAAGCCAGAUGUGAAAGCCCCGGGCUUAACCUGGGAAUGGCAUUUGGGACUGCAAGGCUCGAGUGCGGCAGAGGAGACUGGAAUUCCUGGUGUAGCAGUGAAAUGCGUAGAUAUCAGGAGGAACACCGAUGGCGAAGGCAGGUCUCUGGGCUGACACUGACGCUCAUGCACGAAAGCGUGGGGAGCAAACAGG
rnacentral:rRNA from 1 species